GCUGAAACCUGCAGUGCAGGUUCUUUGCUGAGGAGCAGCAGCGGGAUGGCAGGCAGACGCCAGCCAUGAGCCUGUGAAAGCACUGAGUCGGGCAGCAGAGGGGAACAUGCAGAAGAACUGAGGUACAGAGAAGCUAAAUGACUUCCCUGAGGCCAUACAGGAUGUCUCAAGCAAUGCAAAGAAUGAAAUUGUUUCAUAGCAAGAAGAUCACCGGAGUCCUGUGGUGGAUCCCCAAGCACGGGAGUGCUGAGAUGUACACGACAACCUUUACUGGCUAAAAAAUAAGAUCAGACAUCCUCUUGUCACAGCCCAAAGUACUCUAUAUAUCUGCUGUGUUUACAGAGAGCUUCCCUUGGUUUCAAUUUCUGGAGUUACACCUUUAAUCUCUGCAAUGCAAAACCUGUGGGAAUCUUAUUAAUAAUGGAUCUAAUGUAAUAUUUUCCAUUUCUAAAAUCCUUUUUCUGUUCAGAAGUGCACCCUCAGAAAACACCUUAUGAAGAGGUGGUAGGUAGUUACUUAGGUAGCUAUUCCUUUCUUUAGAAAUCUUUCCAUGGGUAAAAGUUAAUUUAGUUAAACUAAAUCCUAAUUUUGAAGCUCCAAAAGGUAUGAAAUCUUUCCAGCAUAUUUCAUCUCUGUAUGCAUACCACUGUGCCCAAUCAAAGGUACACUAGCAGAAGACUGUUGAAACUGUAAACACAUUCAAUAACUUUUUGCACCAGUCCAAUUUCCAGCCUUCCCCAGCAACUAUGAUGCAGAAUGUCAGGGUGAAGAAACAAGAAGUAUACAGCUGCUCUCCGGUUGUAGAGUUGGUCCUACACAUGCUAGCUAAAGCAGCAAGAAUUGUCCACUGAGUACUUUCUCUCUCUGCUCAAGGACCAGGACACAGAGGUUUCCCCAAACAUGGACAGUCUCCCAUGUUAUGUGUUCUAUGAUGGUGGUGUGAUUGACUCAAGUUGUUUGAUUAGCAGCAGGGACCAAGAUCCAGCACAAAAGUACAUGGGAAAAGCCAAAUUCUUCAUCAACUUCUGACAAGUCAGGGUAAGGAUAAGCAUGAUUAAGCAAGUGCAUGAGCAUGAAUAGAUGAAAAGUUGAGGUGUUCUUAGAAAUGCAGCUCUCACUGCACAAUGUUGCACAAAGAUCUGCCCACUUAAUUCUGUCUGAGAGAGCAUUAAACGAUCAAUCAGCAGCUCACCCACACAGCCAUUUACCUUCAGUAGAAAAAGGAACAGACCUUGCAUGUGAAGAAGAACCACUUAGUCAGGCAGCCACAGAAGCUGGAAAGCUGAAGGAUGAACUGUUCAGAUGAGCAAAAUGCAUCCCACUUACCUGUGGUACCUCAGGAUAGUCUACAAGUUAAACCAAACAGGACAGCUGGCACAGCCCACGUGAUCCUUUGUUUUGUACAGGAAGAUGGCCACAAAAAAAGGUGCCACAUGAGUACAACAGCCACAGUCAGACAUCUGCACAGGCUCUUGCAACACGAUAUAAUCAUCAGAGUGGCAGUCCCCUCUGUUGUAAGUCAACAUCAUGCUUCCAUCAGUAUGCAAAUAGUAGCACUUCGUAUGUGGUCACACUAAUGAGGCGUGACUCUGUGACCAUCCAGAUACAUCCCUGACUUCCUGUCAUCAGCAAGCCCACUCUGGCCAAAUAUGUUGCACAACAAUGGUUGUUCCCAGAUGCCAUUUAGCAGAUCAAAAAGACAAUAGGUGGUCACUCCCAGUUUGUGAGUUGCUGAGUCAUUAACAGGAAAAAUAGAGAAUGAUUCACCAUAUAUGAAUGGGAUACGGUCAUUCUUGUUGCAGUGCUGUCUCAUAAUUAGAUAUCAUGCCACAGAGAAAAAUCAGAGCACACUAUCCAAACAGUAUUUCACUGUAUACUACUAAUAUAUACAAGAAAGCUGAUGAGUAUACCACCACUGCUGGCUAUGGAUGAUCCACAAAUCUGAGAUUCAUUAUGUAUUGAUACUUUUUACUAUAGGCACACACACCAGUAUACCACUGAUAAAUGCAGAUAUGCAAAGGAGAAAUGUAGAUGGGUCAUCCUAGCUAGGUUAACCCAGACUUCUCAAUAAGACACGCUCGUGUAUUUCCAGCACAUCUGAUAUCUGUACAUACACAAUGGAUUUAUCUUGUACAUCUUGAACUUCUUAACCUGUCCCAUUCAAGUUAUUGCAAAAAGUGGCUCAGCUUCACUCCCCUAAUGUGUACUGUUUGACAGUCACCAGUCCAAGUGAGAAACAGAGCCCAUGGGCGGGCAGAAUAAGACAUUACUGAUGAUACGCUUUCAGAAAUUAAAAUGAGCAGCCAUCAAAACUGGUAAUAAUGUGUAACAUCAAAAGAUUCUUUAUUAGAGGUCAUGCAUUCCACCUACUUGUCUUCUCAUUUCAAAAACCAAAUUAACACACACAUUCUUUGAAGUGCUGGUGUUUACUAAGGAACUGCUAGAUCAUCACUGAGUAUGGGCAAAGAUAAUAAUGACUAAGCAAAAGUAUUUUGCACCUUCUAUCUUUGCAUGCUGCUUUGCGCAAGUGCAUCGUUGAAUGUGCUCUAGCCUUUUAAUGCCCAGCUGCACUAAAUGGCUUGUGGCCCACUGAUGGAAAGACAGUUGUGGAAAGCCUUCAGGCCUCAAGACCAUACACUGGCAAUGAUCUACCCGUUAGGAUAGGCAACAUCUCACCUACUCUCUCUGUCGCUUGUGUUUACCUGGUGGUCAGUCUGCUUCUUAUUAAAUGACAUGAAAGUGACAGGUGUUGAUCUCCUGGCACCCAGUUUCUCCAGUCAGCUGUCUAGUCCUUCGCUACUCCUGGGUUAUCAUAAAAGAAGCAGAUAUCAACCUCUUCCAAACAAAGGAAAGGAAAAAAAAUGAGAGAAACAGAUAGGAAACCACUCCUGGUGAAAUAUCAAAGCUCUCUUACUCGUGGGAACUGGUGUUUACUCUUCCAAGUGGCUUUCUAUGAACAUGGCAGGAUUUGUUGACAGAGCCGGACUUUGUGCUCAGGCUUUUUCAGUGCUUUUCUCUUUCCUAUUGCUGGUUAUUAAAUGUGUUCACUUCUC
ensembl:lncRNA